UCCCCUACGGGGCGCAGCAGUGAGGAAUAUUGGUCAAUGGCCGAGAGGCUGAACCAGCCAAGUCGCGUGAGGGAAGACGGCCCUACGGGUUGUAAACCUCUUUUGUCGGGGAGCAAAGCGAACCACGUGUGGUUCAUUGAGAGUACCCGAAGAAAAAGCAUCGGCUAACUACGUGCCAGCAGCCGCGGUAAUACGUAGGGGGCAAGCGUUAUCCGGAUUUACUGGGUGUAAAGGGAGCGUAGACGGCAGCGCAAGUCUGAAGUGAAAUGCCGGGGCUUAACCCCGGAACUGCUUUGGAAACUGUG
rnacentral:rRNA from 1 species